GUGCGGACUGAGCUGUAAGCAUCUAAAAGAUAGUAGAGACAUGAGGGAUCAUAGUCUGGUCUGGAUCAGCCUGAGAUAUCAUCCUCUGAGUAAAACUUGAGGUGGCAAAUUGUUGGGAUAAGAUAGAAACAAUCUGUUGAAAAAUCAACUAAAUCUGAUCAUCUGUAAGUCUGAUCACUGAAGGAUCUAUUCUGCUCCCUGACUGUGGUACAA
rnacentral:lncRNA from 1 species